rnacentral:lncRNA from 1 species
AUUUUGGCCCCUGUGGAUUUUUCAAAUAGGAAAGUUAUUGUGUAAUAAAAUUCAUUUUUAGACAGCUGAGUGCUAAUUUAGCCUUCAAAGAUGGUUUAUAAGAGCAUCAAGAUUAUUUUUUACAUGUUUUAUGGGCUGUUUUCUGUUUGACAAUCCGUAUUUUCAUAGCUAGACCGGCAAUCGCUCCAGAAAUUAAUGUAAUGUUUACAAACACUUUUUUUUUACACGAAGUUUUUGACGCAAUUUUACAAAAAAAUGAGAUGAAAGACAUAUGAUUUUCAUUGGAUUUGCUGAAUGAUAUAUGUACACAGUUUCAGAAAAGGUAUA